GACGAACGCUGGCGGCGUGCCUAACACAUGCAAGUCGAGCGGGGACAUGCGACGGAAGAGAAGUUUUCGGAUGGAUCUGAAGACGUAUGUUCUAGCGGCGGACGGGUGAGUAACGCGUGAGCAACCUGUCCUUCACAGGGGGAUAACACAGCGAAAGUUGUACUAAUACCGCAUAAGACCACAACGGGACAUCCCGAAGGGGUCAAAGGAGCAAUCCGGUGAAGGGUGGGCUCGCGUCCGAUUAGAUAGUUGGUGAGGUAACGGCCCACCAAGUCGACGAUCGGUAGCCGACCUGAGAGGGUGAUCGGCCACAUUGGGACUGAGACACGGCCCAAACUCCUACGGGAGGCAGCAGUGGGGAAUAUUGGGCAAUGGGGGAAACCCUGACCCAGCAACGCCGCGUGAGGGAAGAAGGUUUUCGGAUCGUAAACCUCUGUCCUUGGUGAAGAGUGACAGACAG
rnacentral:rRNA from 1 species